rnacentral:rRNA from 1 species
GACGAACGCUGGCGGCGUGCCUAAUACAUGCAAGUAGAACGCUGAAGGAGGAGCUUGCUUCUCUGGAUGAGUUGCGAACGGGUGAGUAACGCGUAGGUAACCUGCCUGGUAGCGGGGGAUAACUAUUGGAAACGAUAGCUAAUACCGCAUAAUAGUAGAUGUUGCAUGACAUUUGCUUAAAAGGUGCAAUUGCAUCACUACCAGAUGGACCUGCGUUGUAUUAGCUAGUUGGUGGGGUAACGGCUCACCAAGGCGACGAUACAUAGCCGACCUGAGAGGGGGCACGGCCACACUGGGACUGAGACACGGCCCAGACUCCUACGGGAGGCAGCAGUAGGGAAUCUUCGGAAAUGGACGGAAGUCUGACCGAGCAACGCCGCGUGAGUGAAGAAGGUUUUCGGAUCGUAAAGCUCUGUUGUAAGAGAAGAACGAGUGUGAGAGUGGAAAGUUCACACUGUGACGGUAUCUUACCAGAAAGGGACGGCUAACUACGUG